CCAAGGCUAAGAUGGCUAGCGGGUGUGAGAGCACGACCCGCGCCACUGGCACUGAGACACUGGCCAGACUCCUACGGGAGGCUGCAGUCGAGGAUCUUCGGCAAUGGGCGCAAGCCUGACCGAGCGACGCCGCGUGCGCGAUGAAGGCCUUCGGGUUGUAAAGCGCUGUCGAGGGGGAGGAAGCCGAAAGGUUGACCUAUCCCUGGAGGAAGCACGGGCUAAGUUCGUGCCAGCAGCCGCGGUAAGACGAACCGUGCGAACGUUGUUCGGAAUUACUGGGCGUAAAGCGCGCGUAGGCGGUUUGAAAAGUCAGAUGUGAAAGCCCCGGGCUCAACUUGGGAACUGCAUUUGAUACUGUCAGACUAGAGUACAGAAGAGGUGACUGGAAUUCCCAGUGUAGCGGUGAAAUGCGUAGAUAUUGGGAGGAACACCAGAUGCGAAGGCGGGUCACUGGGCUGAUACUGACGCUGAAGUGCGAAAGCCAGGGGAGCGAACGGGA
rnacentral:rRNA from 1 species